AGAACGAACGCUGGCGGCAUGCCUAAUACAUGCAAGUCGAACGAACACUUCGGUGUUAGUGGCGCACGGGUGCGUAACGCGUGGGAAUCUGCCCUUGGGUUCGGAAUAACAGUUGGAAACGACUGCUAAUACCGGAUGAUGACGAAAGUCCAAAGAUUUAUCGCCCAGGGAUGAGCCCGCGUAGGAUUAGCUAGUUGGUGAGGUAAAGGCUCACCAAGGCGACGAUCCUUAGCUGGUCUGAGAGGAUGAUCAGCCACACUGGACUGAGACACGGCCCAGACUCCGUACGGGAGCAGCAGUAGGGAAUA
rnacentral:rRNA from 1 species